rnacentral:rRNA from 1 species
GACGAACGCUGGCGGCGUGCUUAACACAUGCAAGUCGAACGGAAAGGCCCUGCUUUUGUGGGGGGCUCGAGUGGCGAACGGGUGGGUAACGCGUGAGUAGCCUGCCCUGGACUUUGGGAUAACUUCACGAAACUGGGGCUAAUACCGGAUAGGAGCUCCUGCUGCAUUGUGGGGGUUGGAAAGUUUCGGCGGUUGGGUAUGGACUCGCGGCUUAUCAGCUUGUUGGUGGGGUAGUGGCUUACCAAGGCUUUGACGGGUAGCCGGCCUGAGAGGGUGACCGGCAAGAUUGGGACUGAGAUACGGCCCAGCCGUCUACGGGACGCAGCAGUGGGGAAUAUUGUACAACGGGCGGAAGCCGGAUGCAGCAACGCCGCGUGCAGGAUGACGGCCUUCGGGUUGUGAACCGCUUUCGCCUGUGACGAAGCAUGAGUGACGGUAAUGGGUAAAGAAGCACCGGCUAACUACGUG